GCAGCAGACAGUGCUGACAGGGUACGUGAAGAAGAGGGUUAAGAGCAGACAGAGUGCUGACAGCAGAAGAAGCAGAAGAGUGGAGUAGAGUUGACAGCUGUGGAGGUGGAGAAAGAUGAAGUAAUUCAGAAAGCAGACACAGCAGAAGAAGGAGUCCUAUGUCAGCAGACAGAGAUGUUCCAUGUCUUGUCUGGAACUCAGACACAAUUAUUUGAAGAUCAUUCUGUGAUUCAGUUACUUCUCAGUGUGAGAGAAAAGAUCCUUUGAAGUUAUGUCAGUUCAUCUCACAGCUCAGCACAAAACCCAGAAGCAACCAACCACAGACAGAUAUUAUUUUGUUUAUUAUGAAUGAUUGUUUGCAUAAGGA